rnacentral:rRNA from 1 species
AUUGAACGCUGGCGGCAUGCCUUACACAUGCAAGUCGAACGGCAGCACGGGUUCUUGCACCUGGUGGCGAGUGGCGAACGGGUGAGUAAUAUAUCAGAACGUACCUUAUUGUGGGGGAUAACGCAGCGAAAGCUGUGCUAAUACCGCAUAAUCCCUAAGGGGGAAAGCGGGGGACCGUAAGGCCUCGCGCAAUUAGAGCGGCCGAUACCUGAUUAGCUAGUUGGUGAGGUAAAGGCUCACUACGGCAACGAUCAGUAGCUGGUAUGAGAGGACGAUAAGCCACCAGGGGACUGAGGCACAGCCCAGACUCCUACGGGAGGCAGCAGUGGGGAAGUUUGGACAAUGGGGGCAACCCUGAUCAAGCAAUGCCGCGUGAGUGAAGCAGGCCUUCGGGUUGUAAAGCUCUUUUGUCAGGGAAGAAACAGCAGCUCUAACACAGUUUGCGAAUGACGGUACCUGAAGAAUAAGCACCGGCUAACUACGUGCCAGCCGCCGCCGUAA